rnacentral:lncRNA from 1 species
AUGAUGCAACUUUGCCAGCCAGCGCUUCUCGAUGGAGGCAUAGUAAAAUCCAUCGCCCUACAAAAGCAUAGAGCAAAGCAAAGCAAAGCAAAAAAAAAAAAAGAAAAGAAAAAAAAAAAAAAAAAAAACAACAGCCGACAAAUACAGCCCUACUGCCCUUGUAAACAGCUUGCUUUACCAGAGGCCAAAAGCAUUCCUCACGAGCCAACCACUCCAGCCCAGCCUCAGCCAAACUCAGCAGUGGUGAAGGUGUGCCAGGAGGCAGCUGAGACCCCUCCAUCUUCUGAGGGUCCCUGGCGACCAGCUCAGGCUGCAAAGUUAUGCUUCUCAGGGUUACUGGAGGUCUUCUUCAGGCCCACAGAACCAACCUCCCAUAGUCCAAACAUCAGUGAAAACCCCAGAAGAAAGGCARGCCCACGAUCACAUACCUCUUUGCUCCAAAGCCUCUGUUUACAUAGGGAUGUCUGUUCUUCUUGGUAAGUGUGGUCUCUUCAGCCAGCCAGAGCCCGUGGCCUAUUUAGCAAGAGCAAUUCACAGUAACAACAGAAGUAGUAUUAACACUUGCGUUCCACCAGUUUUCUAUGGAUUCUUUAGUAGCAUUUCCAGAAUAUUGCAGCAGAGCACAAUGCGACAGGCCACACGGUAUAUGACAGGAGAGCCCGAGUUCUUUAGUUUGCCAGAGUUUUUAUCCCCUUACAUCUACAGCGAAAAUGAAGAAUCAGUUUUCCUCCUAGAAAUGUUCUGAGGCAGGCAGUGUAAUUAAAGCACACCACAGCCACCCAGCAAGCACUGCCCACGUCCCAGGYGAAGAGCAGCUCGCGGAAAGCUCUGCAGACAAGGCGCUGGCCGCCUCGGCGCUCCCCAGGCCAGGCGGCACCCACCACUUCCGAGGCGCGCAGAUAAAGCCGCUCAGCCCCCGCCGAAGGGGCCGCGCCAGCCCCGGCAACGAGGACUGCCGCGACACGAGCGCUCCGGCAGCCUUUGGGCGCCCGGCGCUCAGGGGUGGAGCGGCGGCGGAACGACCCGGGCCCGGGCCUGCCGCGGCGCCGGCGGAGCAGGUGCGGCGCCGGUGUGGAGCCACCAGCCGAGCCCGAGCCCGAGCCCGAGCCCGAGCCCGAGCCCGAGCCCG